UACGAAGGGGGCUAGCGUUGCUCGGAAUCACUGGGCGUAAAGCGCACGUAGGCGGCUUGGCAAGUCGGAUGUGAAAUCCCUCGGCUCAACCAAGGAAGUGCAUCCGAAACUGCUGAGCUUGAGUACUAAAGAGGAUCGCGGAAUUCCCGGUGUAGAGGUGAAAUUCGUAGAUAUCGGGAGGAACACCAGUGGCGAAGGCGGCUCACUGGCCCGGUACUGACGCUGAGGUGCGAAAGCGUGGGGAGCAAACAGG
rnacentral:rRNA from 1 species